AUUCUCUGGUUUUUCUUCAGAUCGUAUAAAUCUAUUUGCCUUUUUAAAGAUUUCCGUGGAGAGGAACAUCCAUGAGUUUUCGCCAAUUUUUAGAGGUUCUACUCUGUAGAACU